UUUAGAUUUGAUGUUUUUCACACUAUGUUUUGAUGUUUUCAAUAUUGUGGCAUUGUGCUUACAAUUGCAGUAGAGUCAAAGUGCAUUGUAUAGCACAUCACAAUCUGUUGCAAAGCAAUUUGGUGAAUUAGCAAAUGAUACUAUUCGAGGAGUUAGGCAGAAGGAGUGCUAUACUGGGAUUAUAUAAACUUAUAAGAUGUCUGUUAAACAUUCACAAUGUGCAGAAUGAAUUAACUGUUAUAAAAUAUAGUAUGUGGUAAAUGUUUUUUUAUUUUUUUUCCAAGGGCGUUUUGACUUGCAUCAGCCACUGUAUGUCUGUUAAACAUGCAAACAGCAAAGGACCCCAGACCUGAAAGACCUUCUGAGGAGUGGAUAUUGACCAGCUUCAAUAAACACCACCACACUUUACACACUGGACCUCCUGAUCUCCUUUCAAGAACUCAAGGUCAUCUCUCCAAGAUUCUCCAGACAAGCCUUCGCAAAGCUGCUGGAGCAUUGCACGAAGUGUGGAAGAAGAUCUGGAUAUAUCAACGGCGAUGCACUGCAACGCAGCUUCUUGGAGUUUUCAUACGCUUCAUUUGAAUCAGACCAGCUCUGCUGUGGUGCUCCUUUCACCUGCCCAGCCUGAACGCUAGAAUUGUUGGCUGCUUCAGCAGAUGGAAACAGAAAGCUAUAUCGCUUUUGCUCAAACAGAAGACUGUGGCUUGCAAAUAUUGGCCAUUUGAAGAAAGUUGCUAGUGUCCUUCCUGAUCUUCAGGAGCUGGGCCCGGUUGCAUAAAGCACCUUAAGUUUUUCCCUUAAGUAUGACACUUAAGGGGUAAAUUCCCCUUAACUACUAUAAGAUCAUAAUUAAAGAGUUUUGCAUAUAAUCCCUUAAACGGUUUCUUAGGUAAGGGUAAUCGUUAAGUGUUUCAUGACAGCGACCCCGGUUUGUUGUUAUAAAAUACUAUUGUUGCCAUGGAGACGCAACAGAAAAAACUUAAGGGAUUUUCUGCAACAUCCUUAAGUUUAAGGGAAACAUAAGGGUGAACUUAAGGGAAAAUUACUCUUAAGGUGCUUUAUGCAACCGGGCCCUGACCUCAAUGAAACCUUUCCUUAAUGUCAUGCAUGCUUGAGCCACGCUACAACGUGUGGGAUUAAAUGAAGUGGUACUAGGAACCAGGAAGGAACAGGGACAACCACCGGUGAGUGGAGCAAGUGAACAGCUACCUUUCACGUUGUGCCCGUACAACCAAAUAUAUGUCCAAAGCAGCACAGGUGGACAUGCUUACAUUGCAUGCAAUGGGCUGGAACCAUAAAAAAGUAUCUCUCUACAUCAGGCACUUUCCACAAUAUAUGUGAAAACAUCCAGCACGAGACUGCAAGGCUAGCAGAACUAAAAACAAAGCUACAUCGCACAGAUAAAGGGGCGUCACAAUGGCUUUCUGAUGUGAAAGAAUGGGCAGCUGGUGCUGGAAGAAAUCUAAAAUGCAAGCCAAACCAAAGCUCGGGUCUUAGGAGGUUAAACAGUUGGUGACAUCUCCUGCCACAAAAAACAAGCCAACUUCAUCUCACCAUCAGAU